AUUGAACGCUGGCGGCAUGCCUUACACAUGCAAGUCGAACGGUAACAGGUUAAGCUGACGAGUGGCGAACGGGUGAGUAAUGUAUCGGAACGUGCCCAGUUGUGGGGGAUAACUGCUCGAAAGAGCAGCUAAUACCGCAUACGACCUGAGGGUAAAAGCGGGGGAUCGCAAGACCUCGCGCAAUUGGAGCGGCCGAUAUCAGAUUAGGUAGUUGGUGGGGUAAAGGCUCACCAAGCCGACGAUCUGUAGCUGGUCUGAGAGGACGACCAGCCACACUGGGACUGAGACACGGCGCAGUCGCCAACGGGAGGCAGCAGUGGGGAAUUUUGGACAAUGGGCGCAAGCCUGCUCCAGCCAUGCCGCGUGCGGGAAGAAGGCCUUCGGGUUGUAAACCGCUUGUGUGAGGGAAGAAACGCUCUGGGUUAAUACCCUGGGGUAAUGACGGUACCUGAAGAAUAAGCACCGGCUAACUACGUGCCAGCCGCCGCUGUAA
rnacentral:rRNA from 1 species